ACGAACGCUGGCGGCAUGCCUAACACAUGCAAGUCGAACGAGACCUUCGGGUCUAGUGGCGCACGGGUGCGUAACGCGUGGGAACCUGCCCUUAGGUUCGGAAUAACUCCCCGAAAGGGGUGCUAAUACCGGAUAAUGUCUUCGGACCAAAGAUUUAUCGCCUUUGGAUGGGCCGCGUUGGAUUAGCUAGUUUGUAGGGUAAAAGCCUACCAAGGCGACGAUCCAUAGCUGGUCUGAGAGGAUGAUCAGCCACACUGGGACUGAGACACGGCCCAGACUCCUACGGGAGGCAGCAGUGGGGAAUAUUGGACAAUGGGCGAAAGCCUGAUCCAGCAAUGCCGCGUGAGUGAUGAAGGCCUUAGGGUUGUAAAGCUCUUUUACCCGGGAUGAUAAUGACAGUACCGGGAGAAUAAGCUCCGGCUAACUCCGUG
rnacentral:rRNA from 1 species